rnacentral:lncRNA from 1 species
AUCUAACCAAAAAAGUGCCUCUAUAUGGGUGCUGAAGAAUGCAGCGAAAGUAUUCAUUCGUAUUUUUUAGCAGAAGUGACUUGCGUUAGAACGCGACGAGCCCAAAUCGUAGAGUUUGAUUCAUGUGUCCUCGGAUCGUCCGCGAAGGUCUUCUAUCACUCCAAACUUGCGGUUGAUCGAACUACAAACGAGCACGAUCUCCAAUUCACAGUUCAAGACCCUCUAGAAUAAUAGGUUAAUGAAGUAUGUGGUUUCUUGUUGUCUUUCUUUGUUGUGUCUUAUAUGAGAUUGCCCGUAUAUUUAUAAGGGAUUCUAAAAUCCUAAUAGGUACGUAAGAGAUAAGGUCAAAUCGGUUUAUAAUUAUUAUCCUAAUAUGAUUAGAAUUUAUCUCUAAUUAACUUUUCAAUUUUAAAGCGAGAUUAAUCCUAAUCCAAUUAAUCAACGUAAUCAACGUAAUAACCAUCGGAUUGAGUCCGAUUAUGGGCGCACCCGAUUCGACUUAAC